rnacentral:lncRNA from 1 species
GCUGGCCACCUCAGCCAGGGAUGGCAACCCGCUGGGGUCUCCUUCCGCUGUGUGGAAGGGUUGUUUUUCUGCUCUUCGCAAUAAAUCUUGCUGCUGCUCAUUCUUUGGGUCGCCGCCGCCUUUUAUGAGUUGUAGCACUCACCGCGAAGGUCUGCAGCUUCACUCCUGAAGCCAGCUAGAGCCAGCGAGACCACGAACCCACUGGGAGGGAUGAACAACUCCGGACUCGCCACCUUUAUGAACUGUUAACACUCACAGCGAAGGUCUGCAGCUUCACUCCUGAAGCCAGCGAGACCACAAACCCACUAGGAGGAAUGCACAACUCCUGAUGCCCUGCCUUUAAAAGCUGUAACGGUCACUGCGAAGGUCUGCGGCUUCAUUCCUGAAGUCAGCGAAACCACGAACCCACCUGAAGGAAGAAACUCCGGACACAUCCGAACAUCAGAAGGAACAAACUCUGGACACACCAUCUUUAACUGUAACACUCACCACGAGGGUCCGCAGCUUCAUUCUUAAAGUCAGCGAGACCAAGAACCCACCAAUUCCGGACACGCAAGUAUUCGUAACGUUCUUCUGUUCCAAGAAAAAUGGUCUUCUUACUUCCUUGAUGGCUCACAACAUGCUCCUUUCUACUGCAGGAACACUGUAUAACUUCUGUCAAGCAUGAACUCCCCACCUCUGUUUGACAUACUUCUCUACUUUCAGAACUCAGCUGAACUAUCGCUUCUCAAGGGAGCACUCAAACUUCCUGAACAGAGUAAGAGAUUUGUCUCUUCUGAAGUCACAAAACUUGAUAAUAAAACUAAUGGAAUGAUAUGACUUGUAACUAUGUACUCAAAUUGAAAAUAUCAAUUACCAUCUUUAUCUACAUUAUUAGUAACACAUUUUUGUUUGCAUGGGCUCAAAAAUAUUGGGUUCUAAUUAUAUAUCACAUAAUAUGCAGAAUAUUUUGCAGCUAUGGACUCCAGUCCUUAAAAGAGGAUUGAAGAUAUGAGAUCAAUGGAUUUCAGGAAUGUUUUUUACUGAAUGUCAGUUAGCAGCCAGAGAUAGAAUUCAG